rnacentral:rRNA from 1 species
AGUGAACGCUGGCGGUAGGCCUAACACAUGCAAGUCGAACGGCAGCACAGUAAGAGCUUGCUCUUACGGGUGGCGAGUGGCGGACGGGUGAGGAAUACAUCGGAAUCUACUUUUUCGUGGGGGAUAACGUAGGGAAACUUACGCUAAUACCGCAUACGACCUACGGGUGAAAGCAGGGGAUCUUCGGACCUUGCGCGAUUGAAUGAGCCGAUGUCGGAUUAGCUAGUUGGCGGGGUAAAGGCCCACCAAGGCGACGAUCCGUAGCUGGUCUGAGAGGAUGAUCAGCCACACUGGAACUGAGACUCGGUCCAGACUCCUACGGGAGGCAGCAGUGGGGAAUAUUGGACAGUGGGCGCAAGCCUGAUCCAGCCAUACCGCGUGGGUGAAGAAGGCCUUCGGGUUGUAAAGCCCUUUUGUUGGGAAAGAAAAGCAGCAGGUUAAUACCCCGCUGUUCUGACGGUACCCAAAGAAUAAGCACCGGCUAACUUCGU